rnacentral:ncRNA from 2 species
GGGUCUAAGAAGGAUGUCUUGUGCCCCUUCUUAGAGGAGGUUCGGUGGUCGGGCCGCCAUCU